CUCAACGAUAGACGAUAAAAACUACGAAAAUAAACGAAUAAUAUAAUUUUAUUUCAAAUAUUAUUGAGUUGCUUUUUACUUAAAUCCAACUUAUCCGAGUUUUUCCACUUCUUCAUAAAAAUAGCGAUUAAAAUUAAAAUUUUCUUCAAAAAAAAAACUUUAACUAUCUAUGCAGUGUCGUUUGAAAAAGUAUACUUUCUUCAAAAAAUACAGCUUAAAACAUGUUGUUUAGUUGGAUUGCGGUUUUUCUACAAUAUUGCUUAAUUCAUUAAAGUAACCAGGUUGGAAGAACAGGUUUUGGUUCAGGAAAUCAAGACUGGGGUUAUGUGACAGUGAGACCUGGAGCGUACAUGUUUUGGUGGCUCUAUUACGUUAAUCCAACAACAGUAUCACUAGAAAAUUCAAACCCUUUCAACAAACCCCUGAUUGUUUGGCUGCAAGGCGAUCCGGGAGAAUCGGGCACUGGAUAUAGAAAUUUUAAUGAAAUUGAACCACUGGACAUAAAUCUCAAAAGAAGAAACUAUACAUUGAUCCAUGAUUACAAUGUUUUGUUUAUCGACAAACCAGUGGGGACUGGUUUUAGUUACGUCGAUACAAUUCAAAUGAUGGCACAGAAUUUGACGCAAGUUGGCCAUGAUCUUGUAGCACUGAUGAAAGUAUUCCUAGAAAAGAUUCCACAAUUUAAAAAUGUUCCGACUUAUAUUGUCGGCGAAUCUUACGGAGGAAAUAUGGCUGUGCAAUUUGCUCAUCUAUAGAUGGUUUCAGGCUCAAAAAGUACAAAACAAUCAUCAGUAAUUUAAAAAGGAAUAGCUUUGGGUGAUGCGCCUAUAUCUUUUAAGGAAACAGUUAAAUGUAUAGCUCCAUACUUAUUGAACUUGGGCUUAAUAGACACUAAAAAUUUUAUCAAGAUCGAGAGUAUUGCCUCAAAAACCCUCAAGUCAUUGAAUGAAGAACGAUGGUCUGAAGCAAUGAUGAGUCAUAGUCUUACGUAUGCAACUAUAAAUAAUCUUACUGCAGAGAUUUCUAUGUACAACAUUCUACAACCAAAAACUAACAAUUUCUGAACUCCCACAAAUAUUUUACUUCUUUGCGGUCGACUAUCAAAGAAGUUAAUGUAGAUGGUCAGAUACGAAAAAUCAUGGAACACGAAGUUAAAAGGAGACUUGAGAUUGAUCAUAACAGAAAUUAUACAUUGUUUUCGGAUGCGGUCUGGGAUGUACUGAGUAGCUAACUUAUGAAACCCACGGAACGUAUUGUUGAGAAGCUAUUGAACGAAACAAAUCUCAAAAAUCUUUGUAUACACUGGGCAGUUGGAUUUGAUUGUUCCAAUUCCUAGUACUAUGAGCUGGGUAGAAAAAUUUGAAAUGAACGUAUGCUAAGGAGUGGAAUAACGCCAUCCGGGUACCAUUUACUAUUGACAAUAUUAUUGAAGGAUAUGUUAAAGAGUACAAAAAUUUUAAUUGUAUUGGAUAGACAGAUCUGGACACUCGGGUGCAAAAGAUAAUCCAUACGCCAUAAAUGCAAUGCUUCAAGAUUUAACAUCCAUCAUCACUCCAAAUUAAAUCAUGUAAAGUAUUCCUAAGUAAAUGAAUGUAACGAAAUAUAUUUUUGUAAAAG